GCGGGGUUAGUAUAGUGGCAAUACACCACCUUGCCAAGGUGGAGCUGCGAGUUCGAUUCUCGUACCCCGCU
rfam:Parcubacteria bacterium GW2011_GWA1_48_11b TY24_C0025, whole genome shotgun sequence.